GGCCCAAGCCUGAGCCCUUUGGCUGAACAAUCAAUCAAUCAUGCAAACAGCUGAAUAGUUAAUGGAUUUCAGCAGAGCUGAAUACUUUCUUAAUGUAUUCAACAGAUGCAAUGAUGAAUAAUGAAAGCAAUCUCUAGCAAUCCUCUCUCUCUCUCUCUUUCUUCCUCGUGUCCACACAGACAGAACAUAGAAGUUUUAGAUGCUCCUCAUAUAUUUUAUUUAUUAACAGGUUGAUGCAGGAAAUACUAGGGAUUUUAGUACUAAUUUUAGGAAUAUAUAUACAUAUAACUAGAGUUAUGUUUUCUUUUAGGAUUUUGUGUGAUUUGUAAUUCCUAAUGAGGUGUUUGGUAUAAAGUUAACAAGGGACAAUUAUUACCUUGUAACUUUUAACCUCUCUUAUUAAUAUUGUUCAGAUGCUUAAAGAGGCUAAGUUAAUUUUUAACCUAGUUAAUAUUUAUCCCCUAUUUAAGGGCUAACUAUUAACCUUGGGGGGCUAGGUUUACAAUUUGCCUCUUUAGGGGUUAAAACUUACCGGAGUGACACAUAACCCUCAAUUUUUUAACCUUAUACUAAAUGCAUCUUAAUUUGUAUUUGAUUUAGGGAUUCGUAAUAUCCUAAUGUAAUUAGGAUUACAAAUACUCUACAUAUAGGCCUAAGUCUCUACAUAUUUGGCAGAUCUUAUUAUAGCAAUUGGUGAUUGCUUUGGACUUGAUAAAGUGAACAUGUGUUUCUCUUCCAAUUAAGAAUGUGUUUCUCCAUCCUUUUAGAUUUGUUUCAUUCCUUCCACAUUAUUCUACUAGUUCCACAUCAAUUUGGUAUCCAAGCCAAACUCCAACCUUUCUUUUUUUUAGCUUUGAAAAUUUCCAAGUCCCUUCCAAGUUUGACUCUCGCAUUUCUUUUCUGCUGGGCUCUUUCUCGCAACAAGCUUCCUUGCUGCCACCACAAGCCCACAACUUUCUGAACCUUGAACCACCAUCCACCAUUGCUAAACCACCAAAAACCUCUAAGCGACUUCUACAAUACAUUUUCAGUCACCUAAUGUUGCCCAAAAGUAGAAAUCCAAUAGGCUCACAUGUCGACCCAAGUUGUGACCCGACUGGAAGUAAAUGUAAUCUACUGGCAGCCAAUAAGCAUCUCUCUGCUGUCUAUAGUUAUUAAAGGCAUAAGACGCAUUAAAGUAGAAAGGGGUCCUAGGCAUGGUUUUAAAUAACGACCAUGACAUUACGUAAUGGCCGUUAUUUAAAAAUAUUUUGACUUAUCAUUACCGUUACUACCAUUAUCUAAAGGUUUUUUGAAAUUGCAAGUGUAAAGGCUGUUAUAGUUGUUUAUCUUUCCAGUUGAGAAUCUUUGGCUUUUGUUUACCUCUUUCACAUGAAAUGAAGUAGAGACAACCUUUUUUUUUACCAGAAAACUAUCUUAGCUCUUUCAUUUUAGCACCUUUUCAUUUU
rnacentral:misc_RNA from 1 species